rnacentral:rRNA from 1 species
AUCCGUAGCUGGUCUGAGAGGACGAUCAGCCACACUGGGACUGAGAUACGGCCCAGACUCCUACGGGAGGCAGCAGUGGGGAAUAUUGGACAAUGGGGGAAACCCUGAUCCAGUCAUGCCGCGUGUGUGAAGAAGGCCUUAGGGUUGUAAAGCACUUUCAGCGAGGAAGAAAAAUUAUAAAAGAAUAAAUUAUAAGUAUGACGUUACUCGCAGAAGAAGCACCGGCUAACUCCGUGCCAGCAGCCGCGGUAAAACGGAGGGUGCAAGCGUUAAUCGGAAUUACUGGGCGUAAAGGGCAUGUAGGUGGUUUGUUAAGCCUUAUGUGAAAGCCCUAGGCUUAACCUAGGAAAUGGAUAAGGAACUGACAAGCUAGAGUGCAGUAGAGGAAGGUAGAAUUCCAGGUGUAGCGGUGAAAUGCGUAGAUAUCUGGAGGAAUACCAGUGGCGAAGGCGACCUUCUGGACUGACACUGACGCUGAGGUGCGAAAGCGUGGGUAGCAAACAGGAUUAGAUACCCUGGUAGUCCACGCUGUAAACGAUAUCAACUAGCCGUUGGGUUAUUAAAUAAUUUGGUGGCGUAGCUAACGCGAUAAGUUGAUCGCCUGGGGAGUACGGCCGCAAGGCUAAAACUCAAAUGAAUUGACGGGGGCCCGCACAAGCGGUGGAGCAUGUGGUUUAAUUCGAUGCAACGCGAAGAACCUUACCUACUCUUGACAUCCAAAGUACUUUCCAGAGAUGGAAGGGUGCCUUAGGGAACUUUGAGACAGGUGCUGCAUGGCUGUCGUCAGCUCGUGUUGUGAAAUGUUGGGUUAAGUCCCGUAACGAGCGCAACCCUUGUCCUUAUUUGCCAGCGCGUAAUGGUGGGAACUUUAAGGAGACUGCUGGUGAUAAACCGGAGGAAGGUGGGGACGACGUCAAGUCAUCAUG